rnacentral:lncRNA from 1 species
UGGAGAAGGAAAUGGCAACCCACUCCAGUGUUCUUACCUGGAGAAUCCCAGGGACGGGGGAGCCUGGUGGGCUGCCGUCUAUGGGGUCACACAGAGUUGGACACGACUGAAGUGACUUAGCAGCAGCAGCAGAGGACUAUUCAGAUCCCCAGGUUACAGAGGAGGAAACUGAGGCUCAGGAGGGUGGGGCCUCUGAGAACCUCUGAGGAUCCUCACUCCAUAAAGGGCUGACCCUGUCCCCAGGCAGGAUGGGAACCACAGGUGUGGUGGCCAAGUCCCCUUCACUUCAUUGCAAGAAGUGGCUGGAUCCUGUCCCACCCAGCACUGGGCCUCGCCCUGCUGCUCUGGAGGGUAUGAGGACCCUCCAAGCUGUGUGUACUCUCCGAGUGACUGUCCAAGAGGAGUCCAUCCAGAGCUUAAGCCAAGGCUGUGGGCAAAGGAUGCACUGGAUCGUCAGGGAAAUUUUGCCCAAGAUUCUGUCAGAUCAGAUGGGAAGAAGUUCAAACCUGACUCUAGAACCUGCAGACUGUGCUACUUCUGGUAAGUUAUGGAGCCUCACUGAGCCUCGGUUCCUCUAUUAUUUAAGGGAGUAAAGAUGGGCCCUGUGAAGGAUAUGGUGGAUGUAAAGAAACCUAACAGGUGCUCAGGAGUGGACACUGGUUCACAUCCGCUUCUCCAGGGCACAGCAUUGAGCCAGCCUCUGUGGAAACAGGGAUGGAACGUCCAAGGGUGAAGACUCUAUCAGGCUAGGUCAGGGGGAAAGAAGAUCCUCAUGGUAGAGCCAGGAGAGUGAGAGGAUUAAGUCAGGACUUAUCAAGAUCCCUGAUAUAAAACUUCCC